GCGGCCUAUUAGCUAGUUGGUGGGGUAAUGGCCUACCAAGGCAGCGACGGGUAGCUGGUCUGAGAGGAUGAUCAGCCACACUGGAACUGGAACACGGUCCAGACUCCUACGGGAGGCAGCAGUGAGGAAUUUUGCGCAAUGGGGGAAACCCUGACGCAGCAACGCCGCGUGGGUGAAGAAGGCUUUCGGGUCGUAAAGCCCUGUCAGGUGGGAAGAACCGUUUCGAUACUAAUAAUGUCGAAGCCUGACGGUACCACCAGAGGAAGCACCGGCCAACUCCGUGCCAGCAGCCGCGGUAAUACGGAGGGUGCAAGCGUUGUUCGGAAUUAUUGGGCGUAAAGAGCGUGUAGGCGGUCCGGUAAGUCAGAUGUGAAAGCCCUGGGCUCGACCCAGGAAGUGCAUUUGAAACUACCAGACUUGAGUACGGGAGAGGAGGGGGGAAUUCCCGGUGUAGAGGUGAAAUUCGUAGAUAUCGGGAGGAAUACCAGUGGCGAAGGCGCCCCUCUGGACCGAUACUGACGCUGAGACGCGAAAGCGUGGGGAGCAAACAGGAUUAGAUACCCUGGUAGUCCACGCCGUAAACGAUGAGCACUAGGUGUAGCGUGUAUUGACCCCUGCUGUGCCGUAGCUAACGCAUUAAGU
rnacentral:rRNA from 1 species